GGUGGACUACGCCAGAAAAUAGUUCAUCUGUUUGUUUUCUAGUAGGAGGAAUAGCAGGACCGUUAGAUGCUGCCUUCCAGAAGAAGACCUGGAGAGUUUUAGCACAGACUGCUUUUUAUCUUCAAAAAGCAUAAGAGGCGCUUCACUAGAAGCCGUUUCCUAAAAUGGAGCUGAAGUGGGCGCUUCUUUUUGGUCAGGAUGGAUUAUUACAGUCUGUUUGCCCGAAUGUGCCCACGUGAGAAGAAAUCUGAGCACACAACCAGUACCAGUCCGACCAGCAGCAGUCGGAAACCUCUUCGGAGCGACGGCAGCUCGGCAGAGUCUCAGAUGUAAAGCAGAUCUUAAACUCUUCAACACUAUCCACACUGUCCUUUCCGUGUCAAAUGAAGACUUUUCACAAGCUUUAAUUCAACAUUUACAUAUGCAUCAUCUAUCACUGGAGACGGAGAUAUAGGCUUGACUUUGGACCCAAGAGAGCUGCUUCUGUUUGACCUUUUUUUAAUUACGCCAAAGGAAACAUUUAUAUUUUGUUGAGAUUAGUUUGACUGUCAAUUAAUUAUUUUUAACCAUGUCAAAACAUCCUAAUUUUCAGCUCAGGAGUAUUUCUGUGUAUUUUCACGCGCUUAGCCUUCGUUAUACAGGAAUGACUGUAACAACCAAAAGUGACAUGUCUGUUCACGUUAUAUUGCGUUACAUUGGUGAAGAUUAUUUUAUAUGCAAUUUUUUGGCGUAUAUGCAUUAAGAAUCAUCAUGCCAUUCAAGCAAAUCUGGCUCAAAAUUGUAUUUAUUAAUGAACUGUGUGCGUGUUCUCUUUGUGCAUAUCGUCACUGUAUUAGAUGAGGAAACUGUUAAGAGCAGGAAGUGCUGGAAAGUGGACAUGUUGAGUCACACGGAGCAGGAGCAGACACAUGAAGAGGAAACUCAAUGGAAAAUAAACAUUUCACAACAAAUGCAAAUGAGACGGACAGAGCGCCUCUGAAUAAGCUCUGAGGAGUGAUUGGAAUACAAAUCUAAUUUGGGUUGGUUUCCUAAUAAUGGAAAUAUCUCUCUGAAAGGACAAAAGGCUCUUUGGCGUGUUGU